GCAGUUACGUGUAGUCAUAUAUAGUUUUAUAUAGUAAAAUUCGUAGCAAAUUUAAGUUUUAACAGAAGUUUUAUAUUGCUAUUCCCUUCUUAAUUCUAAGCUAACUCCUACACCAACAAAUAAGUAAUAGUUACAACUGAUAAUAGGAAAAACAAACUCCAACAAAUCUUCAAUUAUAAUAGGAAAAGCAAACUCCAACAAAUAGCCAAUUAUAAUGAAAUUGUAGCCAAAUUAACUAACUAAGCCAUAGAUCUUCACCAAAAUCAAAACAGACUAACAUAAUGAAUAAAAUUAACACUCCUUGUCAUUAAUUAUUAUGAAGACCGAACUAAAAACAUGCGAUUAUUUACUUCAAACAUUAUAAUUUGCAACCUUACCAAGCUAGAAACUCGUGCGGCGGAAUACUGAUUCCGUUCGUCGAUUGCGGCCGGGAUACAGAUCUUAUUCUCCGGCAAUAUAAAUCAUCGUUGAAAAACGGAUCUCGUACAGCGGAAUAUGGAUCUCGUUCUUAGUGUGGGCAGCAGCGGCGGCAGACGGCGGC
rnacentral:lncRNA from 1 species